UACGUAGGGUGCGAGCGUUAAUCGGAAUUACUGGGCGUAAAGCGUGCGCAGGCGGCCUUGUAAGUCAGAUGUGAAAUCCCCGGGCUUAACCUGGGAACUGCGUUUGAAACUACAAGGCUAGAGUGUGGCAGAGGGGGGUGGAAUUCCACGUGUAGCAGUGAAAUGCGUAGAGAUGUGGAGGAACACCGAUGGCGAAGGCAGCCCCCUGGGUUAACACUGACGCUCAGGCACGAAAGCGUGGGGAGCAAACAGG
rnacentral:rRNA from 1 species